UGUUUGGGCCCGAGAUCCACACCCUGGUGAAUGGAUCGGCGGGGCCUGUCCUCAGGGCCCCUGGAGCCGUGGCGCUGAGCAGAGCCCGUGAGGUCCUACACUUUGCUCAGCUCAUCACGCAGGCCAAGCACACAGCCAAGUCCAUCUCAGAUCAGUGUGCGGAGGGCCCAGCUGGCUACCCCUUCCUGUUGUGGCUGGGCUUUGGCCCCACAGACACCAAUGGCUCCUACCCAGCCAAUGACCUGGAUGAGAUGGGGCAGGACACCGUCCGGAAGAUGGAUGAAUAUCUGGAGAAGGCCCUGGAGUACCUGCGCCAGAUAUUUCAGGAAUGAGCUAUGGGGCCUGUCCCAUGGUCAUUGGGGUCCCCUUCCCCACAGGAGUCACUGCCCCUAGCCCGUGGUCAGCCACAUACCAAGUCCCAAGCACCACGGAGAUGGAUCCAGUGUUGUGGGAGGCAGGCCCACACCCCGAGUGUCCUGUCUGGGUCCCAUUGUUGCCACGGUUGGAGGCCAGUGGGGUGAAGACCAGUUCCCUCGCUUCACCUUGACGCUGAGGGCAGAGGCACUUCUCUCUGGCAGCUCAGUGACAGGCAGCUCAGGCAGUUCACGCUUGCCUUGGGCACCACGUAGGAUGAGAAUGGAAAGAAGCAGCUCCCCGACUACAUCGUGGAUCAUCAUUGGGCUGUGCAGGUUUGAAAUUGAGUACGAGGGAGACCCAGAGCUACAGCCCAUCUGGAGCUAUGAGAUCGCCAGCUUGGUUUGUGCACUCUUCAGGCUAUUGUCUGCCAUCAACCACAGAGUUCCUGGGGAGUGGUUCCUGCAGCCACAGAAGCAUCUGGAGGAAACAGAACUGAGAAGGCAGGGCAGAUGUGGUGAAGCAAAGAAGUGGCUGCCAGGCUCAACAGCCAUGCUCUGUGACAGCACAGCUCAGUACCGGCUCCUCCCUCCCUCCACCAAGGACUCACGGCCAAGCCAGCUCUCAGGAACUUUUUUCCAGUAUCCAUUUGGGUACUCUGCUGCAUCAAGCUCAGGAGCCAGCUUGCCAGCAGCCCCUCAGGCCUGGCCUGUCCACUGGCUGGUCUUGAGCUGUUCCAAGACUGGGCCAUAGAAUUUCAUGCUUCAGGAGCCUGAGAUUCUCCAGAGCCCGGGUGCUUCACUACAGACUGCAGUCCAUCGAGCACAUCACCCAGAGCAGCAGCCAGCUCGUGCCUUGUCACAG
rnacentral:lncRNA from 13 species